rnacentral:rRNA from 1 species
GACGAACGCUGGCGGCGUGCUUAACACAUGCAAGUCGAACGGAAAGGCCCUUCUUUCAGGGUACUCGAGUGGCGAACGGGUGGGUAACACGUGGGUGAUCUGCCCUGCACUUCGGGAUAAGCCUGGGAAACUGGGUCUAAUACCGGAUAGGAGCCAUUUUUAGUGUGAUGGUUGGAAAGUUUUUUCGGUGUAGGAUGAGCUCGCGGCCUAUCAGCUUGUUGGUGGGGUAAUGGCCUACCAAGGCGGCGACGGGUAGCCGGCCUGAGAGGGUGGACGGCCACAUUGGGACUGAGAGACGGCCCAGACUCCUACGGGAGGCAGCAGUGGGGAAUAUUGCACAAUGGGCGCAAGCCUGAUGCAGCGACGCCGCGGGGGGGAUGACGGCCUUCGGGUUGUAAACUCCUUUCGCUAGGGACGAAGCUUUUUGUGACGGUACCUAGAUAAGAAGCACCGGCUAACUACGUG